rnacentral:misc_RNA from 1 species
AACUACCCAAAUAAGCUCUAAAAACUAUAAAACUUUGCCCCGCCGUCCUUAGCAAUAUUACUAAGCCAAUGCAAAAAGAAUCAUAAUUUUUUGAGCUACCACGAAUAUUUAUGGAUUUUUAAUCCCAUUCAAGCACUAGAAAAUUACGAAAAAGUAAAGUUCGGGUUUACCUAUGCCGAUUCUAACCCCGGAAACGCGCUUGAGAUGUCUGACAACAGUGGGGUAGCCAAAAUCUCGACCUAAUUCCAAGACUUUUUCAGUAACUUGUCUGUCUGGCCCAAAAUUUACAGAUCCGGGCAACCGUUGAAUUUCCACGAAUUGAAAGUACCUACAUGAAGACCACAAUACGGGGGUUAGUAUAUAAUAUUUACAGGAUUUUCUAAGCUCAUUUAGUGCUCGGAAAAACUAUACGAAGUUUCGUGGGACCCACCAAAAAAUGGUGUCGAAAAAUU